UUCCAGAUUGUCAGCCUCGAAGAUAACUGUUUUACGGCCUCCAUUCACUAUUGGACGGUAUAAAAUGAUUAAAUACGACAGAAAAGAUGUUUCCCCAGUCAGAUUGUACUUUUAGAAAUCAGCGCAAACGCGUUACUUAAAAGACCGCCUCAAUACUUUGGAGUACAGAUUGGUUGAAACACGGCUUGAGAAGUUGUGGACACGUAUAUAAGCGAAUGUGGGUGAUCCCCCGAAGAAUCAGACUGAAUAUCCAAUUGCGGAUGAGGGUGAUCCGCCGAAGAAUCAGAUCUAUUAUUCAAAAGCGGAUGUUGGUGAUCCGCCGAAGAAUCAGACUGAAAAUCCAAUACCGGAUGUGGAUGAUCCCCCGAAAAACCAGACUGAAUAUUCAAAAGCGGAUGUGGGUAAUCCGCCGAAGAAUCAGACUGAAUAUCCAAAAGCGGAUGUGGAUGAUCCGCCGAAGAAUCAGACUGAAUAUUCAAUAGCGGAUGUGGGUAAUCUGCCGAAGAAUCAGACUAAAUAUCCUUUUUCAUUACAUGAAGGAAAUAGUUCAAAAUACCAUUUUAUAUAUUAACGAAAAUGUUCAAACGUUGCAAUUAUUUCAUGAAUAUUUAUACAUAUAUGAGUUAAUGUAAUGGUGUUCUAUUUUUUAUUAAUUCUUGUCUACAUAUACAUAUAUAUACCGCCA